rnacentral:rRNA from 1 species
UACGGAAGGUCCGAGCGUUAUCCGGAUUUAUUGGGUUUAAAGGGAGCGUAGGCGGAGGAUUAAGUCAGCCGUUAAAUAGUGGGGCUCAACCCCGCAGUGCGGUUGAAACUGGUUUUCUUGAGUGCACGAGAGGCAGGUGGAAUUCGUGGUGUAGCGGUGAAAUGCUUAGAUAUCACGAAGAACUCCGAUUGCGAAGGCAGCCUGCUGGUGUGUUACUGACGCUGAUGCUCGAAGGUGCGGGUAUC